CCAAUAGCGUAUAUUAAAGUUGUUGCAGUUAAAAAGCUCGUAGUUGAAUUUCGGGAUCAGUACGCUGGUCGUGCCUUGUGUAUGUACUGGUGUUACUGGUUCCUACCUUCUGAAGAACCGUCAUGUCAUUAAUUUGGUGUGGCGGGGAAUCAGGACUGUUACUUUGAAAAAAUUAGAGUGUUUAAAGCAGGCUCGCGCUUGAAUACAUUAGCAUGGAAUAAUGAAAUAGGACGUUUGAUCCUAUUUUGUUGGUUUCUAGGAUUGACGUAAUGAUUAAUAGGGAUAGUUGGGGGCAUUAGUAUUCAAUUGUCAGAGGUGAAAUUCUUGGAUUUAUUGAAGACUAACUACUGCGAAAGCAUUUGCCAAGGAUGUUUUCAUUAAUCAAGAACGAAAGUUAGGGGAUCGAAGACGAUCAGAUACCGUCGUAGUCUUAACCAUAAACUAUGCCGACUAGGGAUCGGAUGAUGUUAAUUUUUUAAUGACUCAUUCGGCGCCUUACG
rnacentral:rRNA from 1 species